AAAGGGAAAGGAUUAAAAAAAGAAAAAGUACAGCCCAAUCAAAUUCAGCCAACCAAACUUUGGUUGUGCAAAAUGUUGUCGGCCAAGGGCUCAAAUCAGAUCCAAUGUCUACGGCUGCGGAAUUGAAGCGGGCGAGGAGCUCCGUUUUGAUGAGGAGAACAAGUGACUCCGGUUGCGGACUUGCAUCGGCGAUGAAGGCUAAAAGCCAUUGUAGCGUUUAUUGGAGACAUUCUUGGGCAAAAAGGGUCGAUAGCUAUGCUUUGAUUUUAUCCAGUCAUUAGAAGAUGAAGCUUCCAAAAUAGCGUGCUGCUUGUUCAAUGGUGUUGUCCUGUUAAGAAUGGGUCUUUCUGUUUCUGAAUCCCAGUUGGAAGGCCAAUUCUCUGGAUGUAUGGGAGGAACUCGAGCUUGACCCACUUCAUUCUCACAUAGUGGAGCUUGAUUUGCUUCAUUCUUGUCAAGUGGAGCCUCACCUGCUUCAUUUUCAUAUAGCAGAGCCUGACUUGUUUCACUCUCGUCUAGGGGAGUCGGACCCUCUUCAUUCUCAUCAAGCAGAGCUGGACCCACUUUUCUUAUGAACUCGAGUGCGGUGUUCAACACUCUAACAAUGUCAUCAUGAGCAUUCUUGUCUAGUGGAGCCUGACGUGUUUCAUUCUCAUCUACCAGCGGCUGACUCGCUUCAUUCUCGUCAAGCGGAGUGUGUGCAUAAAAUUCCAUUGUCAUUUUUUGGACCUGUGAGUAUAUCAAUUCAAUUCUAUGUUAAUUUA